rnacentral:rRNA from 1 species
GACGAACGCUGGCGGCGUGCCUAAUACAUGCAAGUAGAACGCACAGUUUAUACCGUAGCUUGCUACACCAUAGACUGUGAGUUGCGGACGGGUGAGUAACGCGUAGGUAACCUGCCUGGUAGCGGGGGAUAACUAUUGGAAACGAUAGCUAAUACCGCAUAAUAUUGAUUAUUGCAUGAUAAUUGAGUGAAAGAUGCUAUUGCAUCACUACCAGAUGGACCUGCGUUGUAUUAGCUAGUAGGGGAGGUAACGGCUCACCUAGGCGACGAUACAUAGCCGACCUGGGAGGGUUAUCGGCCACACUGGGACUGGGACACGGCCCAGACUCCUACGGGAAGCAGCAGUAGGGAAUCUUCGGCAAUGGACGAAAGUCUGACCGAGCAACGCCGCGUGAGUGAAGAAGGUUUUCGGAUCGUAAAGCUCUGUUGUAAGAGAAGAACGGGUGUGAGAGUGGAAAGUUCACACUGUGACGGUAUCUUACCAGAAAGGGACGGCUAACUACGUG